GUCUUUUCCACUUCCUCUCACUUCUCUUUAUUGUUUCUUCGUCUCUUUUCUCCCCUUCUUAACACAUUUUCUCUGCCACGGAUACACAUUCAACCGACACCACCAAUGUCUUUAUCUUCGUCGACCCUCCCUAUCACCAACCAUUCAGCCACUAAAUCUCAACAUCAAUUUUCAUGCCUUUCACUCAAGCCUCCCUCUUCUGAAUCCUCUCCCCGUGACAAGCCUGUAUCAACGCCGUCUAUAGAUGGAGCUCUUAGAUCUGAGUUCCUUCGCUAGAUCUGACCCUCUCUCCCAUUUCUAUUCCCAAAUCUAUAAGAAAUCUAAAAUUGAUGCCUUGAUCUAUGAUUUUUCUUUAGUAUUUUAAAUGAUUGUGUUUGGAUUCAUAUUCUUCUUGAACCUUCAAGGAAAUCUGAAGAGAUUUUAAAGGUGGGUGGUAUUGGUUCUGGAGUUGAUGAAACAGCGGCGGAAGCUUCGGCCCAGAUGAAGCGUCUCUUGUUCUUAAGAGACUAAAAGCAAGAACUAACAAGACUGCUAAAGAUUAUGCUUGGAGGUGUGAAUUUUAAUGAGGUCUGAUAAAAAAUGAAGAAUUUGUAUAUAGAGAAAAAUCCGGUUGUAUCCUAUUUUCAGGAAGGAUCUUAUUUAACAGUGACAACAAUAACUUUGAUGAACAUGUAAGUAGCACACAGUCUUUUUUUGUCAAUUCUUUUUUAUGAUAUAAAAACUUGAUUUGUCACUUACCAAAAACAUGAAAACACAAGCGAAAGUGAUGUUUGUCUCAUCAAGAUAUGCUUUGGCGAAGUUAUUUCUGACCACAAAUGUGAAAAUUUUGAUGAAGUAAGAAGCCAUGUGUUGAGUGAAGAUGGAGAAUUUGAAGUAAGAAGACAUGUGUUGAGUGAAUUCCAAGAAUUUGAAGUGAUUACAAGUCAAGGUGAAGAUGGAAUCAUGUAAACUUUGUAAAAAAUUGUUACUUGCGUUUAUUUGAACUUAUGUUUGUAUCUUUGUGACAAUUAAUGAAUUAUUUUGAUAUUGAUA